CAGUGCCAUGGCCGUCUGAGCUAAGGGCAAAUAAGAAAUCAAAAGGCGCAGAGAACUGCGCCUUUUUU
rnacentral:sRNA from 1 species